rnacentral:rRNA from 1 species
GCUCAAUGAUUUUUUAAAUUGCUGUAGUAUUUUGACUAUACAAAGGUAUUGAAAUAAGACUUUAAUUGAGUGCUAAGAGAAUGGAAUUUCAAAAAAAUUCUUUNUUAGGAUUAAAAAUUGAAAUUAUUUUUUUUUGUGAAGAAACAACAAUGAUAAUUAAGGACAAGAAGACCCUAAGAAUUUUAAAAGAGAAAGAAUACUUUAUCUCUCUUUUCUUUUUAAUUGGGGCGAUUAAUAAAUAUUAAAAACUUUAUUUAAAAUGAAAUAUGAACCGUUACUAAUGGUCAAAUGAGAAAAUACUCUAGGGAUAACAGCGUAAUAAUUUUUGAUAGUUCCUAUAGACAAAAUAGUUUGCGACCUCGAUGUUGGAUUAGGAUUCUUUUUUAAUGAAGAAGUUAAAAGAANAAGUUUGUUCAACUUUUGAAAUCCUACUUGAUCUGAGUUCAGACCGG